UACGGGGGGGGCAAGCGUUGUUCGGAAUUACUGGGCGUAAAGGGCUCGUAGGCGGCCAACUAAGUCGGACGUGAAAUCCCUCGGCUUAACCGGGGAACUGCGUCCGAUACUGGAUGGCUGGAGGUUGGGAGAGGGAUGCGGAAUUCCAGGUGUAGCGGUGAAAUGCGUAGAUAUCAAGAGGAACACCUGAGGUGAAGACGGGUUGCUGGGCUGACACUGACGCUGAGGCGCGAAAGCUAGGGUAGCAAACGGG
rnacentral:rRNA from 1 species